rnacentral:rRNA from 1 species
UACGUAGGGUGCAAGCGUUGUCCGGAAUUAUUGGGCGUAAAGAGCUCGUAGGCGGUUUGUCGCGUCGAAUGUGAAAACCCGGGGCUCAACCCCGGCCUGCAUUCGAUACGGGCAGACUAGAGUUCGGUAGGGGAGUCUGGAAUUCCUGGUGUAGCGGUGAAAUGCGCAGAUAUCAGGAGGAACACCGGUGGCGAAGGCGGGACUCUGGGCCGAUACUGACGCUGAGGAGCGAAAGCGUGGGGAGCAAACAGG